UUGGACCCUUGGGCUGUGGGCUUACCAAAUCUCAGAAGCAUUGAACUCGGGCAGUCUUGGGAUGGAAGCACUCCACAGACACCAACAUGGAGGCGGAUGUGAUACUCCAGCAGUGCACACGGCCCAGAGAGGACAUUGAGGAAGGCCUAUAGACCUGUAACAUCAUGGCCAAACUGCUCAUGGCCUGUAACAUCGUCGAUCCAACGAAGAGAGAGAGAACCCGAAAGGGGAUCACCAAGCAGGACCUUCCAAGGGUGACCUCUGCUGGGAUCAUCUGGCCAACGAACCGGUUCCGGGGUCAUCAUGGGAAGAUACCAACAGCAUGAAUCUCAGCAUGAACUCCUGGUGCCUGACGCUCAGCCUGUAUUUCGUCGGACUGUAAGUGUGAUUGCAGAUAGUGAGAGUGAGCUUCCCUUUUCCCCUCCUUUCAGAGUAGGUUAAAGCAAUUAAAGCCAUUUGUGCUCAUUA